AAACGAGGAAGUCAAGUCAAGUCCGCCAUUUCAUCUUCUUCUUUAUAUCGGAAAAGAAAGGAAUCAUGAAAGGAUGCAAGCUGAAGGAAAGGACAACUCUUACAUCAGUGCAUUACUAAUUGUUUGACUUCAUCAUCAAGCACAUCAGACGGUGCGGUGGUACAGUGGAUAGCUCUGUUGCCUCCCAGCAAAAAUGUUUCUGGUUCGAGCAUCGGCUGGGUCAGUUGGCAUUUCUGUGUGAAGUUUGUAUGUUCUCCACGUGUUGGCGUGGGUCUCCUCCGGGUGCUCCGGUUUCCCCCACAAGACAUGCGGUACAGGUGAAUUGGCUCAGAUUGUGAUGGACCGGGAAUGCGACACCAGUUACUCUUAAGUCAAGAACCAAAUGAAUCACCAGAGUACAGAUUAUGGAGGUUCCUUGUAAAGAUGAACCCAGGGAAGGAUCGAAAGUGGAGAAGACCAGAUCAAGAAAGACUACAUCAAGAUCUGCGGUCAGUUCAAAGGUACUUUCACUAAUUACCAAGAUUUCAGACUAUGAAUUGAUGGAGUAAACUUUGAGUGUCAGAUCUUCCUAGCAAAAAUUCUUCCCAGUGUCUUGUAGUAGAAGUGAUGCAGUCAAUCAAGUUUACAUUAUUUCGUAAAUUGCUUUCCGAUUUAAUAAAAAUAUAUUAACCAAACUUGAUUAAUGUAACAAUUUUGAUGAAAAGGGCAUGUUUUACUAAAGCUUUUAGCACAAAGGCACCCCCAUCUUGUAAUAUUGCUGUGUCUGACGUCACAGGGUUGGUAUGCUGGAAACAUUUUUGAAUGAGGUAUUUGUAUGAUUUAUACAUAGUCUGUCUUAAAGCGUCACUAAAUUGUACAGGCAUUACAGGUCAAAGCAAUCUGUUAUUACAUUUAUCAAAAUAAACAAUAAGGCUCUUAAAACACUGCUUUGAAAAAUGUAGAAAAUGUAAAGAAAUAUUUCAAAUACCUCAAAUGAAAUGAAGUCAUUUGUUUUAUUAUUUUUAAAAUAUAUAUUUUUUGUAAAGUCAUUUCUUUAUAAAUAUGUAAAAAAAAAUCCAAGUAUUAUAAAAGUUAUUUAAGCAACAAAUUUGCCAGAUUGUAAAGGCAGACACAGAAUGAGCAAACAAGAAAAACCGUGUAAAAUGUGUAAAUAAAAGGCUACAUUUUGAAUUUUUACAUCUUUUCAUCAUAUACGUAAAACCUUCCUAAGCUUGAAAAUAUAUUUCCUUAAAAUAAACUUCCUUUGUUAGUGCAAAUUUCUCUUUAUGUAGUCUUGUAAUUAAACAAUUAAACCAUUCAAACAAGUUUACACUUAAAAAAAGGUCCAUAAUGAAAAUCCGAUUUUUUUUUUUCAAAUGUAACUAAUUAAAAUAGUACCAUGUACUUUUACUCUGUAUUAGUAUUAUUUACUAAAAUUUGUUUUAUUUUAGCAAUGUAAUAGUAUUUCUAGUCCUUUAAUUUAAUGUAAUUUAAUUUUCAGUUCUCUUUCCAUCUACGAAAACAUAAAAAAACAAUAAUUUCACAAGCACAUUUAAAAUAGGUUUAAUACUAUGAAAUAUUAUAUUAAUAUUAUUAUUAUUAUUAUUUUUAUAAAUCGAUAGAUAGUUCCUAUGGAAUGUUUUUAUGUAUUGCUGAGAAUACAUUUCAGGUGUUCAAUACGUUGCUUGUCAGUCUUAAAAAUAAAAAUAGGUGCUUAAAAAAGUGCUUAAAAGUCUAAUCGAGUUGUGCCUGUAUGUACUCUGCAAACAGCACCUUUUAAUUGUUGUCUUCUCCU
ensembl:processed_transcript